rfam:Camelus ferus unplaced genomic scaffold scaffold632, whole genome shotgun sequence.
GAGGGUAUAGCUUAGUGGCAGAGUGCACCCUUAGCAUGCACGAAGUCCUGGGUUCAAUCCCCAGUACCUCCA